rnacentral:lncRNA from 1 species
UUCUGAUUUUCUUUCAUACAUGGUGUCAUGGCAACAGGAAGAAUUCAAAACUAAUCAUAAUCCAGACAAGAUGGCCUCUACUUAUAUUAGAUGUUGGUUUUAUCCUUGCCUUGUGAUUUUAUUUGUGCCAAAACAAGAUCAAUGGAAUUCUUUGCUGCUAAGGAUUUUGUUUUCCAGUGGGCGUGUUCAGAUCUGAAUGCUUCAGAAGGAUCCUCCUUUUUGAAAAUCCACGUGUGGCACCCCCCAAAAUGUUGAGAUGUAUAUACUGCAAUUCAGAACUAAGCCUUCGGAGAGACUCCACUAUCGAUGGAACAGUUUGGUUACUUACAAACUAAGAUUCACAAGAAAUGUAACAAUUAUUUAUUCCCUCAAAAAUGAACCCCUACAAGUGAACAUGGACACAGUCCAAGGGAAAGGUGCCUUCAAAAUUCAGAAUGUGUAAGUUAAAAUUUGCAUGUUUGUAUGUUCUUGAUGUACAAAUAGACAUUUUGUUCAAUUUAAUGGGGG